rnacentral:rRNA from 1 species
CGGCCGCAUUACCCUGACUGUGCUAAGGUAGCAUAAUAACUUGGCCUUUAAUUGGGGUCUGGUAUGAAGGAGUUUAUGGGGGGGGACUGUCUUUUACUUAUUGGGUGAAAAUUCCCAAGACUUAAAAUAAGACGAGAAGACCCUUAGAAUUAUGCUUUUGUUGGGGCAACAUUGUCAGACGAAGUUGACAAUCUCAGAUUAUAAGAAAGAGUUUAAUUACCUAAGGGAUAACAGCAUAAUUUCAAUUUUAGAUUGUGACCUCGAUGUUGGACUAGGAAAACCCCCCACUAG